UGCAGCCUGAUUCAGACCUCAGUUAUGAGGUGCCCGCUGUCCUAAGUGAGGCUGAUGAGAGCUGGGAAGGCGAGAGGAGGCACAGACAAAGGAAAAGAAGAGCAAAAGGGAGAGGGACAAGAGUAGAGCGUGCAGGUCUUGGUCCAGGAGACACAGAGCAGAGAGAAGGAGAGAAUAUAGAGGGAGGAGAUGGACCAAGUGGAAGAUGCCAGAGAGCUGGAAGAGAGAGUGCAGAUGUUUCAGGUGGAAAAGGAGAGAGUGUGGGCCCUGCACCAGGUGACAGAGGCCAGAGAGGUGGAAGAGGUCAGAGCGGUGGAAGAGGAGAUAAUGCAGGUCCAAGUACUGGAGUUGGCAGCAGAGGAAGGAGAGGGAAAGGAGGCAGAGAUGCAGAGGAAGAGAACAGAGUUCAGAUGAUCCAAAUUGACCGAAGGGUCCGGACAGAGGCACUCAUUCAGGGCAUGAGUGAAGUGAGGCUAUGAGCACUAGCAACCCAGGUCUUCUCCCGGAAUCCUGGAUUGGUUUUUGAUGCACUUCCUCCAUUGGACAGCACAACUCCACCUAACGCUGCUCUUCCAUGGUGCACCUGUGGGAACUGCAGGGAAAUGGCCACAGACGCUGAAAGGAAAUGCUGUGGCCAGGGGCCUGAGAAAUGCAUCAGCAAA